UCUCUUUAAGGAGAUUCAAGCUCACUGCAGCAAUUGUUUUAACGGUCCAACAGUAAUACUCUUGACUUGUCCCCUCCAGAAUACAACAGUCUACUCACAAUAACUCAACAACUCUGGACAAGAGUUAAGUUCAAAGCUCCACAAAAAUAACAUCUCCCUUCAACUAAUAAACUCUCCUAUUUUGCUAAGUUUUUUUUCCUUCUUUACAUUCACUUCUAUAUUGUUC
rnacentral:lncRNA from 1 species